rnacentral:rRNA from 1 species
AACGAACGCUGGCGGCGUGCUUAAUACAUGCAAGUCGAGCGAGAAAGUUCCCUUCGGGGAUGAGUACAGCGGCGAACGGGUGCGUAACACGUGGGCAAUCUGCCCUCAAGUUCGGGACAAGGCCACCGAAAGGGGGUCUAAUACCGGAUGUGACCGUCCUGAGGCAUCUUGGGACGAUCAAAGGUAGCCAACUAAACUAUGCUAUCGCUUGAGGAUGAGCCCGCGGCCCAUAGCUUGUUGGCGGGUAACGGCCACCAAGGCUGCGAUGGGUAGCCGGCCUGAGAGGGUGAUCGGCCACACUGGGACUGAGAUACGGCCCAGACUCCUACGGGAGGCAG